UGGGGAAUUUUGGACAAUGGGCGAAAGCCUGAUCCAGCAAUGCCGCGUGUGUGAAGAAGGCCUUCGGGUUGUAAAGCACUUUUGUCCGGAAAGAAAUCCUUGGCUCUAAUACAGUCGGGGGAUGACGGUACCGGAAGAAUAAGCACCGGCUAACUACGUGCCAGCAGCCGCGGUAAUACGUAGGGUGCAAGCGUUAAUCGGAAUUACUGGGCGUAAAGCGUGCGCAGGCGGUUUGCUAAGACCGAUGUGAAAUCCCCGGGCUCAACCUGGGAACUGCAUUGGUGACUGGCAGGCUAGAGUAUGGCAGAGGGGGGUAGAAUUCCACGUGUAGCAGUGAAAUGCGUAGAGAUGUGGAGGAAUACCGAUGGCGAAGGCAGCCCCCUGGGCCAAUACUGACGCUCAUGCACGAAAGCGUGGGGGAGCAAACAGGAUUAGAUACCCUGGUAGUCCACGCCCUAAAACGAUGUCAACUAGUUGUUGGGGAUUCAUUUCCUUAGUAACGUAGCUAACGCGUGAAGUUGACCGCCUGGGGAGUACGUCGCAAGAUUAAAACUCAAAUGAAUUGACGGGGUCAUAGCUGUUUCCU
rnacentral:rRNA from 1 species